UACGAAGGGGGCUAGCGUUGCUCGGAUUUACUGGGCGUAAAGGGCGCGUAGGUGGCGCUGCAAGUCGGUGGUGAAAGCUCGUCGCUUAACGACGAGUCGGCCAUCGAAACUGCGGGGCUGGAGCACUGUAGGGGCAGAUGGAAUUCCGGGUGUAGCGGUGGAAUGCGUAGAGAUCCGGAAGAACACCGGUGGCGAAGGCGGUCUGCUGGGCAGUAGCUGACACUGAGGCGCGACAGCGUGGGGAGCAAACAGG
rnacentral:rRNA from 1 species